rnacentral:rRNA from 1 species
UACGGGGGGGGCAAGCGUUGUUCGGAAUUACUGGGCGUAAAGGGUUUGUAGGUGGUCUGUUAAGUCAGACGUGAAACCCCUCAGCUUAACUGGGGAACUGCGUCUGAUACUGGAUGGCUUGAGUUUGGGAGAGGGAUGCGGAAUUCCAGGUGUAGCGGUGAAAUGCGUAGAUAUCUGGAGGAACACCGGUGGCGAAGGCGGCAUCCUGGACCAAUACUGACACUGAGGAGCGAAAGCCAGGGGAGCAAACGGG